AUGGACGUGUUAGCUAACACUACAACGACAAUGAAAUUGCAAUAUAUAAAUGUAUCAAGUCAACAUGUCACAAGUUACGCAAUGUUUUAUGUCAAAUAUAUUUUUUUUACAAAGGUGGAAUUUCUGUGUUUUGCUGAUGAGAAAAAGAAGAAUCAAGAUGGCUUAACAAGACACUGGCAGUGGGAGAGUCAAGACCAAGAGUCUGAGGGUAAGGAGAGGAGAAAGAGACAGAAGCUAGAGAAGAGAAAGACUCCCAGAAGCUCCCAGAGGCUCCCAGAGGUGGACCUGGAUUGGAUUGAAAGCCAUUUUGAAGGGAGAGGCAAGGGCAUCUUUGCACCCUCUGCUCUGCUUCUUGAGUGAACAAGACUCUGUCAGAUUGUUCUCUUUCUGGUAACAAUCUGGACCUGCAACCUCUUCUGGAUGCCAGACAAGAUGGAGGGGUCACGAUAAUAAAGACUUUCACGAGUUUUCUCA
rnacentral:lncRNA from 1 species